rnacentral:tRNA from 1 species
CGCGGGGUGGAGCAGUCUGGUAGCUCGUCGGGCUCAUAACCCGAAGGUCGAGGGUUCAAAUCCCUCCCCCGCUA